rnacentral:snRNA from 1 species
AGUUUGAGGAAGAAGAGA